GUGGCACAUAUACACCAUGGAAUACUAUGCAGCCAUAAAAAAUGGUGAGUUCAUGUCCUUUGUAGGGUCAUGGAUGAAGCUGGAAACCAUCAUUCUCAGAAAACUAUCGCAAGGACAAAAAACCAAACACCGCAUGUUCUCACUCAUAGGUGGGAAUUGAACAAUGAGAAAACAUGGACACAGGAAGGGGAACGUCACACACCGGCGACUGUUGUGGGGUGGGGGGAGGGGGGAGGGAUAGCAUUAGGAGAUAUACCUAAUGAUAAAUGACGAGUUAAUGGGUGCAGCACACCAACAUGGCACAUGUAUACAUAUGUAACAAACCUGCACAUUGUGCACAUGUACCCUAAAACUUAAAGUAUAAUAAUAAUAAAACUAAAUAAAUAAAUAAAUCUACGGGUGGAUUUUUCAGAUGCACUGGCAGAGCAAAUAUCGGUUUUAUAUAAAAAGUCAGCAUAAGCCAAUUGGAGAAAUGUGAGGGAAUGCUUCUAACUACUUCAUUACAUCCUAAUCACAAAAGCAGAAAGGACAAUGGAUAAAGACAAAAGCAAAUGUACAUUAUCACAUUUUGGCCCUAUACAACUAUUAGGACAAGAGAGGAAGGAGAAAAGCAGGCCCACGUCAGUUUAAAAAUGCCAUGUAAGUCAGGUACCUUGAAAACAAUCAUAGGCAGGGGGCGCGGGGAGGGAUAGCAUGAGGAGAUAUACCUAAUGUAAAUACACUGCACUCCAGGUCUGGUAAUCUGGCUCAACCAGAUUGAGGCUGGUAACCUGGCUCAACCAGUUCUGCGAUUUCACCCAAGAACAGAAGACAGCAAGAGAAACUCACUUUGACCCCCUAUGAUUCCAUCUCCAACCCGACCAAUCAGCACACCCCACUUCCCAAGCCUCUCCCCACCAAAUUAUCCUUAAAAACUCUGAUCCCGGGGAAGGCUUGGAAAGACAGAUUUGAGUAAUAAUAAAACUCCAGUGUCCCACACAGCUUCUCUGCAUGAAUUACUCUUUCUCCAUUGCAAUUCCCUUGUCUAGGCAGCGGGCAGGGUUUCUAGAAGGCUGACAAGGAAAAAAAACACAAACAAAAAUUUGUCUUACAACCAAUAGUGCGGAGGUCGGGAUGGGGGCAGAAGGGUGAGAACUAACAAAUUAGCUCGGAUUUUGGUCUCUCCUGGCCUCUUUCCAUCUGAGAAUUGGGGGAACCUUCU
rnacentral:lncRNA from 10 species